GUAGAAUAAAGAACCUUUAACUUAAAAAUGGUGAGAUUAAAGGUCAAGUUACCUAGUAACUGGAGAACUUUGCCUCAAGCAAGUAUGGAGCAGACCCCAAACAAAUCAGACAAUAAGCCACACGCACUGCUGAAAAUGAGAGGGCUGGUUCCAGUUCAAAGCCUUUCACCGACCUGAGCGCUCAGCCAGAAGUUCUGCAUCUGCAGCCUAUUAGCUCUCCUGAUAGCAUUUUGUUAUUCUCCUUGCAGCAGGAAAAACAAACAGCUGUCCCUCCCACAGUCUCUGCCUUCCUCCCAAGGUCGAAGAGGCUCUCCCCCAGGUGACCCCCUGUGACCCCAUGGAGUUCCUUCCUCUGCAGUGGCCUUGUCCUCCCAGUUGUCUAGUCUAGUCACCACCCUCCCGUUUCUGGCAUUUUCUGAUAAAUUACCUCAUUCCCCAUCCCCCUCUCCUUGUUCUGUCGCACUCUUCCCAGGUCCUAGACCCAGUGCUUCACAAUGGAUGCCGGUUGCCAGUGAUUUCCACGUUUGCUUUUUCCCACAGCAUGUAGGACGUUCAUUGUGGGCCACUUUCAGCAUCACUGUCAGGGGGCAACUUAAGCUUUAGGGAGGAGGAUGCAGGUGUGAUUGGGGGCUUUGGCUUCUCUCCCUAUAAUCUGCAUUGGAUCUCUCCCAAGCCAUCUCUAGCAGACAGAAUCGAUGUGGAGACUGUGUUCACAGUGCAGAUACAGCUCCCCUUUCAACCAGACGGCUAUCCUUAAGCUCCUAAAUGUAAAAUUUGGAACUGGCACUGACUGGCGAUCUGGAAUGCUGCUUAGUUUCUGGCAUUGGGCUCUCUUAGAGGAAUUUCUUCCAAGACUGGAGUUGCCUGUAGGAAGUAAGCUAAUUUAGCACCUCCCUGGGUGAGCCACUCUUAGCUGCUUCUUUAUUCCUUUUUGUGAUGUUGAAGCAUGACCCAGGCCCAUUGAUUCCAGUGCUGUUCAAUACAAAGCACCAGCCCCUUGUGGCUAUGUGAAAUAUGGUUGUUGUUAAUUGAGAUGUGCUGGAAGCAUAAAAUAUACACUGUAUAUUGAAGACUUAGUAUCAGAUGAUAAAAAACAUGGUUAAUUACAUGUUGAAAUGUUAAUAUUUUAGAUAUACUUCAUUAAAAUAUCUUACUACUG
ensembl:lncRNA